GUGGGGAAUUUUGGACAAUGGGCGCAAGCCUGAUCCAGCAAUGCCGCGUGCAGGAAGAAGGCCUUCGGGUUGUAAACUGCUUUUGUACGGAACGAAACGGUCCUGGCUAAUAUCCGGGGCUAAUGACGGUACCGUAAGAAUAAGCACCGGCUAACUACGUGCCAGCAGCCGCGGUAAUACGUAGGGUGCGAGCGUUAAUCGGAAUUACGGGGCGUAAAGCGUGCGCAGGCGGUGCUGUAAGACAGGCGUGAAAUCCCCGGGCGCAACCUGGGAAUUGCGCUUGUGACUGCAGUGCUGGAGUGCGGCAGAGGGGGAUGGAAUUCCGCGUGUAGCAGUGAAAUGCGUAGAUAUGCGGAGGAACACCGAUGGCGAAGGCAAUCCCCUGGGCCUGCACUGACGCUCAUGCACGAAAGCGUGGGGAGCAAACAGGAUUAGAAACCCUUGUAGUCC
rnacentral:rRNA from 1 species